GAUAUGUAUCAGUCACCAAAGCAGCGGUGUAUGGGUCAAAUGUAACCUAUCAUUGUAACCAAGGCUUUGUUCUCGAUGGGAAAGGGAGCUCCAAGUGUAGUCAAAAUGGAACUGACAAUGUUUAUGGGAAAUGGACUGACCAGACGCCUGUGUGUAAAGCCAUAAGUUGCAACACACAAUUGUUACUGAAUGGACAAGUAAUAGCGGGUGGUCAAAGUACCCAUGGCACGACAGUGAGCUUUAGAUGCGACGAAGGCUUCAUUCUCGUAGGAAAGACAAAUUCUACGUGUGUUCAUGAAGAUUCAAAGAGCGCCAAGGGAAAGUGGUCAGAGCCAACGCCUGUUUGCAAGGCUAUUACCUGUGAACCCCCUGUCAUAUCAAACGGAUAUGUAUCAGUCACCAAAGCAGCCGUGUAUGGGUCAACUGUAACCUAUCAUUGUAACCAAGGCUUUGUUCUCGAUGGGAAAGGAAGCUCCAAGUGUAGUCAAAAUGGAACUGACAAUGUGUAUGGGAAAUGGACUGACCAAACGCCUGUGUGUAAAGCCAUCAGUUGCGACACACCAUUAUUAUUUAAUGGACAAGUAAUAGCGGGU